CGGGAUUUAGCUCAACUUGGUAGAGCGUGUGGCCGUAGACCACUCGGUUGCAGGUUCGAAUCCUGCAAUCCCGA
rnacentral:tRNA from 1 species